rnacentral:tRNA from 1 species
CCUUCGAUAGCUCAGUUGGUAGAGCGGAGGACUGUAGUGGCACGCGCUGAAAUCCUUAGGUCGCUGGUUCGAAUCCGGCUCGAAGGA